rnacentral:rRNA from 1 species
AUGAACGCUGGCGGCGUGCUUAACACAUGCAAGUCGAACGGUGAAGGAGAGCUUGCUCUCUGGAUCAGUGGCGAAUGGGUGAGUAACACGUGAGCAAUCUGCCCCUGACUCUGGGAUAAGCGCUGGAAACGGCGUCUAAUACCGGAUACGAGCUGCGAAGGCAUCUUCAGCAGCUGGAAAGAACUUCGGUCAGGGAUGAGCUCGCGGCCUAUCAGCUAGUUGGUGAGGUAAAGGCUCACCAAGGCGUCGACGGGUAGCCGGCCUGAGAGGGUGACCGGCCACACUGGGACUGAGACACGGCCCAGACUCCUACGGGAGGCAGCAGUGGGGAAUAUUGCACAAUGGGCGGAAGCCUGAUGCAGCGACGCCGCGUGAGGGAUGAAGGCCUUCGGGUUGUAAACCUCUUUCAGCAGGGACGAAGCGUGAGUGACGGUACCUGCAGAAGAAGCACCGGCUAACUACGU